AAUCAACGCUGGCGGCGUGCCUCAGACAUGCAAGUCGAACGAUUAAGACUCUCUUCGGAGAGUGUAUAAAGUGGCGCACGGGUGAGUAACACGUAGGUAAUCUACCCUUGAGUGGGGAAUAACUUAGGGAAACUUAAGCUAAUACCGCAUAAUGCAGCGGCAUCUUCGGAUGACAGUUGUUAAAGGAGCAAUUCGCUUAAAGAGGAGCCUGCGGCAGAUUAGCUAGUUGGUAAGGUAAUGGCUUACCAAGGCUACGAUCUGUAACCGACCUGAGAGGGUGGUCGGUCACACUGACACUGAAUAACGGGUCAGACUCCUACGGGAGGCAGCAGUCGGGAAUUUUGGGCAAUGGGCGAAAGCCUGACCCAGCAACGCCGCGUGAAGGAUGAAGUCUUUCGGGAUGUAAACUUCGUAAGAAUAGGAAGAAUAAAUGACGGUACCAUUUGUAAGGUCCGGCUAACUACGUGCCAGCCGCCGCCGUAACAC
rnacentral:rRNA from 1 species